rnacentral:rRNA from 1 species
CCUACGGGUGGCAGCAGUGGGGAAUAUUGGGCAAUGGGCGAAAGCCUGACCCAGCAACGCCGCGUGAAUGAAGAAGGCUUUCGGGUUGUAAACUUCUUUUGACAGGGAAGAGCAUCAGACGGUGCCUGUCUCCUCAGCCACGGCUAACUACGUGCCAUCAGCCGCGGUAAUACGUAGGUGGCAAGCGUUGUCCGGAUUUACUGGGUGUAAGGGGCGUGUAGCCGGGCUGACAAGUCAGAUGUGAAAUCCGGCGGCACAACCCCCGAACUGCAUUUGAAACUGUUGGUCUUGAGUAUCGGAGAGGCAGGCGGAAUUCCUAGUGUAGCGGUGAAAUGCGUAGAUAUUAGGAGGAACACCAGUGGCGAAGGCGGCCUGCUGGACGACAACUGACGGUGAGGCGCGAAAGCGUGGGGAGCAAACAGGAUUAGAUACCCGUGUAGUC